UCCCGGAUCGUCUAAUGGCAGGACACCUGGUUUUGGUCCAGGCAAUCAUGGUUCGAAUCCCUGUCCGGGAACCA
rnacentral:tRNA from 1 species